UCAACCGGACAAGUAAUUAGACCCGUUGAAAUAAUAAGCAAUGUUAAAGCGAAGAAGACGGUUUGUAAGGAAGUCAGCUGAAAAUAUAAUUGAGAUAUACAGUGAUCUGAUUGUAAAAAAAAUCUUCAUUAAACAGCACUGAGCAAAAUUCUGUACUUCUGUAUUUUCUUAUGUACCUGGUCAUCGGCUGUACGGUCAGGAAUUUAAAGGUUCUUAUCGUACGACGCAUGCACUUGAUGACACGUGAUAAGCUGACAUGGAUGAUUAACGCAAAAGCCCGUCUAGUUAACGUCGAGGCUGCACGCUUCCUCGCAUGACGUCACGUCAUUCACUUUAUGCACAUGUAAUACACCCUUAUCAGUGGAUCAUGAAUUGAUGCAUAUUAAUAAUCAUUUGAACAUUCAUAAAUGUAAGUCUGCCCGGAGAUCGUAUGCAAAUUCAUUUCAACAAAAAGAGCGAAGAAAACUCCAAGAUACCUAUAGAUACGUUUACUUGUUAUAAAUCAUAGGUUUGUAUAAAAUCAUCAUAUCCGAGGAUAAAUUGAUAUUAUGGACGUUUGAAAAGAAAAAUUCUUAUAUUAUUGUCUAUUUUUAUUGGCUCCCAUGCAUUGUGAUAUUUUUCACUUUCUUUAGAAAUUCUUUUGACUUUUAUUAUGCAGAAUAUCUCUCGAGUAAAUACUGUAGGAUAUACCAAUCCAAAAAGAAAUUUAACAAUCUCGUCAGUUAACGUUAUCCGAAUGCCAAGGCUGGUGGUCCGCAUUAAAUAACACUUGGCAUCGAGUAUGUUAGAUUUCAUCUGGUCACCAAGCGAUUAGCUUAAAACCGGAGUUGUACCAAAGUUCAAUGGCCUACUAUACGAGGGAACCGACGACAUGAAAUUCUUUUAAAGCUCGUUGAUGAUUGUUACCAGGAAAAAAGACAUAUUUCAUAAUGAUAAUUUAAGUUACAUGCACGGUUGGUGUAUAAAAGACAAUUAUUCUAAGAGUUCGAAAUUUGGUUAAAUAUAAGACAAAAAAAUGUCAUCAUUCAAUUCAGAAAAUGAAUAUUGACAUCAAAAUACUAGUUGUAAUUGAAUAAAGAAAAAGAAUAAAAUUUUCGAGGUAUUCCACUUUACCCAUAUCUAUACUCAUCUUGACGAACGCAAAUUGUAACAACCUUUCGCAAACUGACAGUAACAUUAAGAACGACACAGGCGACGCAGACACAGAUUACAUCACGAAAAAACUUUCAGAACUGUCGGGUUAUAUGUCACAAUUGCAAAGAUACAAACUAGAACCGAAUCAAGAUAAAAAAAACGACAAUCCAAGAAACAAAGCACAAAAAAAUAAACAGAUCAAGAAAGAAGAGCAGCAAAACAAUGAAGUUAAAAAAAUAAAAAAGAGAAAGAAAAAGAACAAUCGCAAUGAAAGAAGCGAACAAAGAUCCUUAAUCCAAGCACAAAAGGGUAUACGGAGAGCCAGAAAAUGAUAAAGGGUUGAACGAAAGAUCGUGCGUUAGGCCAGCAAGACCAACACGAACUCACCUUAUGGAUCGAUGAGCCCCAUCCCCGUGGGCACCGGCACUGUGGUGGACCCGGCACGCAACGCAACAUCAUAAUCACGGCACAAGCACGAUACCCGCAGUAAAGGAUACCUUCGUGUAGCAUAGAACGUACAACAAGGACACGAUCUGAGAAUAAGUGAGAAACGUGGAAACCAGUGUAAAACCCAUGAGAGAGAGCCCGGCUGACGUCCCGCAGGGCGAAAACCGGUGUCGGGGACGUCAAGAUAAGGAAGAGGUUAUGUGACAGGGUGAGAAAUUCCGGGACGCGUCAGGAGCCGCACACGACUCAGGACAUCCUGAGGCGCGGGUCGCAGUCUCGUAGGUCAGUUGCGGAUCCCCGUAGGGGAUGCCGUGGUACCGCGUGGAAGAAAGGGGUGGCCGUCGUCUACGUGGAAACGAACCGUAAGCCCGGUCCAGUGUAUUUACGAGUUUUGGACCUGGCUGCAAGCAGGCUAGCAAACUCAGCCAAGUGUCGCGGAAUAGAGUCCAUGGGACGACCAUGUGCUUCAUGAGUCUCGCGAACGUCACUGCGCUUGCGUUUGUGAGUCUGACCCCUACGUCACUCUUGGCUACGUUCCCCUCGUGCUGCGCGGCAACAUGCGAGAUGGAUACGCCAUAAAACCCCGUGGAGUCAACUGUUACAACCCUCGCCCGCCGUCGUUCUUCCAUAGGUGUGGGAGUGUCCAUGCCACAUAUAAGGACUAGCAUUGCUCCUAGGACUCUCUAGAUUGGAAAAAUUGACAUUAUACCGUGUGCCUCAAAAGUAAUUUGCUCCGAAGGCUUUAAGGACCUCCACUUGGUAACUGGGAAUCCUCUCGGUCGUUAGUAAUUAAUUCGAGCCAGGAGGAUGCUAAUUUAAAGGACACCUUUAAGGAUGCUCGGACAACUUUUCUACUGUUACACGUUUAACUGCUUCGACUUUCAUUAUUCCUCGGGACUACUCGGCGCUUCCUACAUCUUUGCAUAUUAAACAUAGGAUUCACUUACGCAAUUACGUCUAAACUAUCUCAAUGGACAAUUCAUAUUUACAUGUGGUUUUAACAUGUAGCGUUUAUCGCCUUGUAGACACGCUGUAAAUGUCUAGACAAUUUUCCAUCAGUUUAUGUCUUCAUGCAUCUAGUGAAUAUACCUAUAUACAUUUCAGUAAAAUAGUAUUAAAAUAAUUAAUAUAUCGCUAUCAAUUAUUUCAAUAUAAUCACAUUGAUGAUCUCUGUUAUCUUCUUAAUGUCUGUUCAAUAAUCGUUAAAUAAAGUAUUUUUUAACGAUACUAUUAUUCACUGCGUGGGGUAUAUGGGUGGUUGGCAUAGAAAUCAUUCUUAAAAGAAAUUGUUAACGCAGGAUACCGAUUAUAUUUUUUUUUUUUUUUGUAAUCCAUACAUGUUGAGGCACCUUAUAUACUUGGAAUCAGGAACAGACGAAGUUCUCAGUAUCCCAACACUAUUUAUAUUCAUCCUAUUGUGUAUCUUCUAACAUUCACCUACUCAAGGAUAACCAGCCAGGCAAACGGAUGGUGAGUGCGUCGACAUAGCCUGUGCAAUUUGCAUAAGAUACACGUGCGAUAAAAAAGUAAUAACUAAAUGUAUAUGAACAAAGUUAUCUCGCCGAAAC